rnacentral:rRNA from 1 species
GACGAACGCUGGCGGCGUGCUUAACACAUGCAAGUCGAACGGAAAGGCCCUGCUUUUGUGGGGUGCUCGAGUGGCGAACGGGUGAGUAACACGUGAGUAACCUGCCCUUGACUUUGGGAUAACUUCAGGAAACUGGGGCUAAUACCGGAUAGGAGCUCCUGCUGCAUGGUGGGGGUUGGAAAGUUUCGGCGGUUGGGGAUGGACUCGCGGCUUAUCAGCUUGUUGGUGGGGUAGUGGCUUACCAAGGCUUUGACGGGUAGCCGGCCUGAGAGGGUGACCGGCCACAUUGGGACUAAGAUACGGCCCAGACUUCUACGGGAGGCAGCAGUGGGGAAUAUUGCACAAUGGGCGGAAGCCUGAUGCAGCAACGCCGCGUGCGGGAUGACGGCCUUCGGGUUGUAAACCGCUUUCGCCUGUGACGAAGCGUGAGUGACGGUAAUGGGUAAAGAAGCACCGGCUAACUACGUG